rnacentral:lncRNA from 1 species
UUACUCUUUAUGAGUUUUUGCUCUUGUUUUUGGAGGAUUUCCAAAACAAAGAAAGGUUGAUCCGAACCUGAAAUCGGAGUGUUUUGGGUUUGCUUGUACCCGGGAAACAAGUGUUCUAGCUUGGGAUAGCUAGGGUCGGAGUUUCUGACGUCUUGUAUUCUAGCUUGAGAUAGCUAGUGUCGGAGUUUCCGACGUUUUGUAUUCGGGUUGAAUACAAAGGAUAGUGGAUUAAAAUUCCCAAGUGGGAUCUUGGGGAGUGGACGUAGGUGCAAGGUUAGCACCGAACCACUAUAAAUCCUUGUGUUUGUGGUGUACUUUAUCGCUUUAUCUUAUUUCUUUAUUAUAUCCUUGCAAUACUACUUUAGUUAAUUAAUAUUGAUUUAAAGCCAUUGUUUUGUUCUUCAUAAGUUAUUUGUUGGGCUUAAAAUCAUUAGAAACCCAAUUCACCCCCCCUCUUGGGUUGC